UCAAAGUGAUGCAUACUGCCAGUCUUCUUCACACUCUCUGAGGCUCUCCGAGUCUUUCUUUCCAUUUCUGUUUUACCCAUGCUUUAGCAUAGGAGUGUUUGUAACAGUAACAAAUAUCAAUGUGUAUAGAAUGUUAACCGUUUCCAUAGUCUCGAUCAUUUCUACUAAACGUGGCAUGCUCGAGUUCUCUCUAGAAAGAGGACUUCCAAGAAACAAAAACAAAAUAAGGCAGCAAGUACAAGCCUGAGUUGAAAAAAACAGUUAGUAGCAUUUAAGUGGAAGGAAAGUAAAAAAGAAAAAGAGGGGGAGCUAAGAGCUUGAGUGGCCUUAAAUUAUGGUAAAAAGAAAUGGGCCAUGGAUGUUGAUACCUGAUAAACCAAAAACUACAAAAGCUUGACAACAACUAGAUUCCCGGUUUUAUAUCCUGCCAUAUGCGUGCAGCCAAAGACCCUCUGCUUUAUUGCCUGCAAAAGUUGAUUUGGAUGUUGUCUAUUAUUAAUGUUUAUGAUAUACUCAAUAGUUUUUCCCACUUCCUCCAACUACUUUUACUCGUUCACUCGUCUAGAUCAAGACCUUAUUAUUAACUAUAGUCAUUUUCCAAAGCAUAUAAUAUAUUUGAUAUAGUAAAAUUAUCUCUAUUUGUUGUUCCUUAAAACGUGUGUCAAGUCAAUACUAAACAAAAAAUAAAUAAACAGAGAGAGUAACUAUGUAGUAUUACUUCUCCUUCCCAUAUUACUUGUUCAAUUUCUCUUUUACACGUCUCUUAAGAAAUCAUAAAUAAGAAAGAUAUUUCUUAAUAAUCGAGUAAACCCUUGUCCUGAGAUGUAAAUGGAACAGGGGAGGGAAAACAGUUGCGUGAAAUUUUGCACAACAGAAAUGAGAAGCAAAAAGAAAUAGCAAGAGAUUUGACAUUUUGACACACAACCUGGGCAUGAUGAAGAAACUAGGCAUAAAGCAAAAC
rnacentral:lncRNA from 1 species